rnacentral:rRNA from 1 species
CUACGGGACGCUCCAGUGAGGAAUAUUGCACAAUGGGGGGAACCCUGAUGCAGCAACGCCGCGUGGAGGAUGACGCAUUUCGGUGUGUAAACUCCUUUUAUAUGUCAAGAAAAUGACGGUAGCAUAUGAAUAAGCACCGGCUAACUCCGUGCCAGCAGCCGCGGUAAUACGGAGGGUGCAAGCGUUACUCGGAAUCACUGGGCGGAAAGGACGCGUAGGCGGGUUGGAAAGUCAGGUGUGAAAUCCUACAGCUUAACUGUAGAACUGCACUUGAAACUUCUAAUCUAGAGUAUGGGGGGGGAGAUGGAAUUAGUGGUGUAGGGGUAAAAUCCGUAGAUAUCACUAGGAAUACCUAAAGCGAAGGCGAUCUCCUGGAACAUUACUGACGCUAAGGCGUGAAAGCGUGGGGAGCAAACAGGAUUAGAUACCCCCGUAGUC